rnacentral:rRNA from 1 species
UUGAUAGGCCAGGUGUGUAAGCGCAGCGAUGCGUUGAGCUAACCGGUACUAAUGAACCGUGAGGCUUAACCUUACAACGCCGAAG